GGGAACGUUCUGGGAAGCAGUGAGAGCGGUGACAGUCAGUUUCCGGUCUGCGAUUCCGUGGAGAGAACAUGUAGUGGAGAGCAAGUGAUUUUAUCUGAGAUCAUCCGUGAUAUUAUUUUAUCUGGGACUUAUCCGUCUUCAGUUUUGGAAUCAGCAAUGCUUUAUUUUGGAUUGGAGAGAUGUUCGGUGUUGAUCUGUUUGCUCCGAGUUCCUUUUUAUUAGUGAUUUGUUCACUUUCUUUUAUUGCUUGGAGCUCUGGUUUUGGACCCGAUGUCACUGUGGCGUUCCUCAUGGAUCCCAGUGCUUGAUUAUAACACCUGAUCGGGUCCUUGGUUAUGAUAUAACCUGUAUUUGUUUAUGGUGAUGUUCGAGGUUAUGCUCUCUACCUUGACAUGUGUUCAUGUUUUACUUCUGAUUUUAACCUUAUGGCUCUGCCUGCUAUGAUUCGUCUCGUCUCAUGUGACGUUGUUUCUCUCAAGAGCCUUGAGGAUUUUCUCGUUGUUUUGCGAGUUUAGAACCCUUUUGUUUGGUUCUGUGUUGUUGAGUCAACAUGUUUAGUAUUUGUUAAUAUUUAAUCAUUCUGAAUGCUCUAGUUUUACUAGAACAACUAUGCUUACUUCUGGUUCACAUUUGAGCCGCGUUUUGAGUUGAGACUUUGAGAGAUUGAGGGAGGAACUUGUUUGUUCUUGAGUUUGUUGUUGGCUGUGUUUAGAGCCUUGUUUAUAGAGAUUAUAUGGAGCGAGUUUUGCUCUAGUUAGAGGCUGGUCCUCUGGUUUUUAAUUUAAGUAUUUGUAUGGCUUUUGGCCUCUGGUUUUGAAGUUGUGAACUUGUGGUUCAUAUUUUAGUUUUAGUGUUUGAACUUUGUGUUUUGAGGUUCUUCUGGAGUCAGUAUUUGUAUUCCUACAUUGUGUGAUAUUGUUGCCAUUGCAUUAUUAAAGCCACUUGUUAUUGUUAAA